GAAAUGCGAUAAGUAAUGUGAAUUGCAGAAUUCAGUGAAUCAUCGAAUCUUUGAACGCACCUUGCGCUCCUUGGUAUUCCGAGGAGCAUGCCUGUUUGAGUGUCAUUAAUAUAUAUCAACUUCUUCAGCUUUUUGUUGAGUUGUUGGAUGUGGGGGUUUUCUUUUUUGCUGGCCUUUUUACUAAUAAAGGUCAGCUCCCCUGAAAUGUAUUAGCAGAACAAUCUGUUUGACUCAGUCGUUCAUUAGCGUGAUAAUUAUCUGUGCUAUUGAAUUGUUGAACAAGUUCAGCUUCUAAUAGUCCAUUGACUUGGACAAUUUUCAUUUAAUGUGACCUCAAAUCAGGUAGGACUACCCGCUGAACUUAA
rnacentral:rRNA from 1 species